rnacentral:rRNA from 1 species
AAGGGACAUGGGGGCAGCCUGACCGCAAUGCCGCGUGUGUGAAGAAGGCCUGAGGGUUGUAAAGCACUCUCGUUGGGGAGGAGGUCUGGCUGGUUAAAAGCUGGUUACAUGGACGUUACCCACCCAACAACCACCGGCUAACUCCGUGCCCUCACCCUCCUUAAUACCGAUGGUGCAAGCGUUAAUCUAAAUUACUGGGCAUAUAGGGUUCGAAAGUGGUUGGAUAAAUUAUCUAUAAAAUCCUUGGGCUUAACCUGGGCAGGUCAGAUAAGAUUGUUUGACUCGCGUAUUGGAAAGGGAAAUGGAAUUUCCUGUGUAACAGUGAAAUGCGUAAAGGUCGGAAGGAACACCAAUGCCGAAGGCGGCUACCUGGCCCAUUACUGACACUGAGGAACAAAUG